rnacentral:rRNA from 1 species
GUGGGGAAUUUUGGACAAUGGGCGCAAGCCUGAUCCAGCAAUGCCGCGUGCAGGAAGAAGGCCUUCGGGUUGUAAACUGCUUUUGUACGGAACGAAACGGUCCGGGUUAAUACCCUGGGCUAAUGACGGUACCGUAAGAAUAAGCACCGGCUAACUACGUGCCAGCAGCCGCGGUAAUACGUAGGGUUCAAGCGUUAAUCGGAAUUACUGGGCGUAAAGCGUGCGCAGGCGGUUUUGUAAGACAGGCGUGAAAUCCCCGGGCUCAACCUGGGAAUUGCGCUUGUGACUGCAAGGCUGGAGUGCGGCAGAGGGGGAUGGAAUUCCGCGUGUAGCAGUGAAAUGCGUAGAUAUGCGGAGGAACACCGAUGGCGAAGGCAAUCCCCUGGGCCUGCACUGACGCUCAUGCACGAAAGCGUGGGGAGCAAACAGGAUUAGAUACCCCAGUAGUCC